UACGUAGGGUGCGAGCGUUAAUCGGAAUUACUGGGCGUAAAGCGUGCGCAGGCGGUGAUGUAAGACAGAUGUGAAAUCCCCGGGCUCAACCUGGGAACUGCAUUUGUGACUGCAUCGCUGGAGUGCGGCAGAGGGGGAUGGAAUCCGCGUGUAGCAGUGAAAUGCGUAGAUAUGCGGAGGAACACCGAUGGCGAAGGCAAUCCCCUGGGCCUGCACUGACGCUCAUGCACGAAAGCGUGGGGAGCAAACAGG
rnacentral:rRNA from 1 species